rnacentral:rRNA from 1 species
CGUAGGUGGCAAGCGUUGUCCGGAUUUAUUGGGUUUAAAGGGUGCGUAGGCGGCUUUGUAAGUCAGUGGUGAAAUAUGGCAGCUCAACUGUCAGGGUGCCAUUGAUACUGCGGAGCUUGAGUACAGAUGAGGUAGGCGGAAUUGACGGUGUAGCGGUGAAAUGCUUAGAUAUCGUCAAGAACACCGAUAGCGAAGGCAGCUUACUGGGCUGUAACUGACGCUGAGGCACGAAAGUGUGGGGAUCAAACAGGAUUAGAUACCCUGGUAGUCCACACUGUAAACGUUGAUGACUCGCUGUUGGCGAUACACAGCCAGCGGCAGAGAGAAAUCGUUAAGUCAUCCACCUGGGAGUACGCCGGCAACGGUGA